UGCAGGGGACGACCCCUAGGGUCGACACCUGCGAUGGAAAAUCUCUAUAACGAUUAGUUUUUAGCUCAUUUUGAUCAUAUUUAAUGCUCAUUUAAGGCUCUCCAAUGUCUAUAAAUUUAUCUAAAUUUCUCUCCAGCAUCUAUUGAAGAUAUAAAGAAACUUAAAGGAGAGAAAAAGAGAAGAGAUUCAAGCAUUCAUUUCAGCCUUAAGCAAAAAGUCUUCUUCAAGCAAAAGAAGCUUUCAUUUCAAGUUCACCAACCCCUCA
rnacentral:lncRNA from 1 species